rnacentral:rRNA from 1 species
UACGAAGGGGGCUAGCGUUGCUCGGAAUCACUGGGCGUAAAGGGUGCGUAGGCGGGUCUUUAAGUCAGGGGUGAAAUCCUGGAGCUCAACUCCAGAACUGCCUUGAUACUGAAAGUCUUGAGUAUGGGAGAGGUGAGUGGAACUGCGAGUGUAGAGGUGAAAUUCGUAGAUAUUCGCAAGAACACCAGUGGCGAAGGCGGCUCACUGGCCCAUUACUGACGCUGAGGCACGAAAGCGUGGGGAGCAAACAGG